UACGAAGGGGGCUAGCGUUGCUCGGAAUCAUUGGGCGUAAAGAGCGUGUAGGCGGCCAGAUAGGUCCGUUGUGAAAACUGGAGGCUUAACCUCCAGCUGUCGAUGGAAACCAUCUGGCUAGAGUCCGGAAGAGGAGAGUGGAAUUCCUGGUGUAGCGGUGAAAUGCGCAGAUAUCAGGAAGAACACCCGUGGCGAAGGCGGCUCUCUGGGACGGUACUGACGCUGAGACGCGAAAGCGUGGGGAGCGAACAGG
rnacentral:rRNA from 1 species